GACGUAGGUGGCGAACGUUAUCCGGAAUUAUUGGGCGUAAAGGGUGCGUAGGCGGCAUAAUAAGUUAUUGGCGGGAAAUCGAGGCUCAACCUCGUGGAAACUGAUAAUACUGUUUUGCUUGAGUACAGGAGAGGUUAACGGAACUCCAUGUGGAGCGGUAAAACGUGUAGAUAUAUGGAAGAACAUCAAUAACGGCGAAGGCAGUUAACUAUUCUGUUACUGACGUUGAGGCACGAAAGCGUGGGGAGCAAAAAGG
rnacentral:rRNA from 1 species